rnacentral:rRNA from 1 species
UUGAACGCUGGCGGCAGGCCUAACACAUGCAAGUCGAGCGGAUGAAGGGAGCUUGCUCCUGGAUUCAGCGGCGGACGGGUGAGUAAUGCCUAGGAAUCUGCCUGGUAGUGGGGGAUAACGUCCGGAAACGGGCGCUAAUACCGCAUACGUCCUGAGGGAGAAAGUGGGGGAUCUUCGGACCUCACGCUAUCAGAUGAGCCUAGGUCGGAUUAGCUAGUUGGUGGGGUAAAGGCCUACCAAGGCGACGAUCCGUAACUGGUCUGAGAGGAUGACCAGUCACACUGGAACUGAGACACGGUCCAGACUCCUACGGGAGGCAGCAGUGGGGAAUAUUGGACAAUGGGCGAAAGCCUGAUCCAGCCAUGCCGCGUGUGUGAAGAAGGUCUUCGGAUUGUAAAGCACUUUAAGUUGGGAGGAAGGGCAGUAAGUUAAUACCUUGCUGUUUUGACGUUACCAACAGAAUAAGCACCGGCUAACUUCGUG